AUAAUUGAUCUUCUGUUUACCAGUACGUUGUAAAGGUAAACACUCACUUACAAAUGAUUAAUUCCCGAUUUGAAGAUAAAUUCACAAUAACUUUUGAUGGAGAGAAGACAAGUGUGGGGAUCUCAUGCUCAAAGCCGAAUCCCUUUUAAGUUUCGAAAUUCCAAGCAUGAGUCCAAUUCGCACAAUACGCAAAGUUGCGUUUGCUUCGCUUUACAAGCUGGAUAGAACGAUUUCUAAGCUACUAAAUUAUAGCGCAGCAAAGGAUAAAUCCGUAGGAGUCUGUUAUUUUUAAAAAAUGCAAUACAACUUCAGCAUCCUCAACAUAUAUUGCAAUGUAACGUUAAUAUGCACAAUCAAAAAUUUACCAAUUUGAAUGAAUAGCAUUGCACUACGUUACAUUCAACGUUCUUGAGUUCUGUUGCUAUACACUCCAAGACACUUGUGGAGCAUGUGAGAUAU